rnacentral:rRNA from 1 species
GAUGAACGCUGGCGGCGUGCCUAAUACAUGCAAGUCGAGCGAACAGACGAGGAGCUUGCUCCUCUGACGUUAGCGGCGGACGGGUGAGUAACACGUGGAUAACCUACCUAUAAGACUGGGAUAACUUCGGGAAACCGGAGCUAAUACCGGAUAAUAUAUUGAACCGCAUGGUUCAAUAGUGAAAGACGGUUUUGCUGUCACUUAUAGAUGGAUCCGCGCCGCAUUAGCUAGUUGGUAAGGUAACGGCUUACCAAGGCAACGAUGCGUAGACGACCUGAGAGGGUGAUCGGCCACACUGGAACUGAGACACGGACCAGACUCCUACGGGAGGCAGCAGUAGGGAAUCUUCCGCAAUGGGCGAAAGCCUGACGGAGCAACGCCGCGUGAGUGAUGAAGGUCUUCGGAUCGUAAAACUCUGUUAUUAGGGAAGAACAAAUGUGUAAGUAACUAUGCACGUCUUGACGGUACCUAAUCAGAAAGCCACGGCUAACUACGUG